GGCCGGGUGCUGGUGGUGGGGGCGGGCGGCAUCGGCUGCGAGCUCCUCAAGAAUCUCGUGCUCACCGGUUUCUCCCACAUCGACCUGAUUGAUCUGGAUACUAUUGAUGUAAGCAACCUCAACAGACAGUUUUUGUUUCAAAAGAAACAUGUUGGAAGAUCAAAGGCACAGGUUGCCAAGGAAAGUGUACUGCAGUUUUACCCGAAAGCUAAUAUCGUUGCCUACCAUGACAGCAUCAUGAAGUAUGCUAUAGUGAUUACAUUGCAAAGUUGUAUAAGGGUUUUGUAAGCCAAAUAUAUAAGCUCAAAGUCAUUCAGCUUUUUUAAAAAAAAUGAUUUUUCUAG
rnacentral:lncRNA from 1 species